rnacentral:tRNA from 1 species
GGGGAUCUAGCUCAAAUGGUAGAGCACUCGCUUAGCAUGUGAGAGGUACUGGAAUCAAUACCUAUGUUCUCCA